rnacentral:rRNA from 1 species
ACGAACGCUGGCGGCGUGGAUAAGACAUGCAAGUCGAACGGGAUUAUUUUUGUAGCAAUACAGAAAUAAUUCAGUGGCGAACGGGUGCGUAACACGUGGGCAAUCUGCCGAAAAGUGGGGGAUAGCUCGCCGAAAGGCGAAUUAAUACCGCAUGUGGUGAGGGACGACAUCUUCCUGAAUCCAAAGCCGGGGCAACCUGGCGCUUUUUGAGGAGCCCGCGGCCUAUCAGCAGUUGGUGAGGUAACGGCCCACCAAGGCUAUGACGGGUAGCUGGUCUGAGAGGACGACCAGUCACACUGGAACUGAGACACGGUCCAGACACCUACGGGUGGCAGCAGUCGAG